ACGCUGGCGGCAUGCUUUACACAUGCAAGUCGGACGGCAGCACAGAGAAGCUUGCUUCUUGGGUGGCGAGUGGCGAACGGGUGAGUAAUAUAUCGGAACGUACCGAGUAAUGGGGGAUAACUAAUCGAAAGAUUAGCUAAUACCGCAUAUUCUCUGAGGAGGAAAGCAGGGGACCUUCGGGCCUUGCGUUAUUCGAGCGGCCGAUAUCUGAUUAGCUAGUUGGUGGGGUAAAGGCCUACCAAGGCGACGAUCAGUAGCGGGUCUGAGAGGAUGAUCCGCCACACUGGGACUGAGACACGGCCCAGACUCCUACGGGAGGCAGCAGUGGGGAAUUUUGGACAAUGGGCGCAAGCCUGAUCCAGCCAUGCCGCGUGUCUGAAGAAGGCCUUCGGGUUGUAAAGGACUUUUGUCAGGGAAGAAAAGGCUGUUGCUAAUACCGACAGCUGAUGACGGUACCUGAAGAAUAAGCACCGGCUAACUACGUGCCAGCAGCCGCGGUAAUACGUAGGGUGCGAGCGUUAAUCGGAAUUACUGGGCGUAAAGCGAGCGCAGACGGUUACUUAAGCAGGAUGUGAAAUCCCCGGGCUCAACCUGGGAACUGCGUUCUGAACUGGGUGACUAGAGUGUGUCAGAGGGAGGUAGAAUUCCACGUGUAGCAGUGAAAUGCGUAGAGAUGUGUACGAAUACCGAUGGCGAAGGCAGCCUCCUGGGAUAACACUGACGUUCAUGCUCGAAGCGUGGGUAGCAAACAGGAUUAGAUACCCUGGUAGUCCACGCCCUAAACGAUGUCAAUUAGCUGUUGGGCAACUUGAUUGCUUAGUAGCGUAGCUAACGCGUGAAAUUGACCGCCUGGGGAGUACGG
rnacentral:rRNA from 1 species